AAAAACAGCUCCCUGUCAAGAGACAGUCACUCAGAGGUCGUCCACCAUCAAGAAUACUAGUCGUAGCAUGUCGUCCAACCUUUUUCUUUUACUCGCUUGCUUGCUGGUAUCGUCGAUGUUUGUGCGGGACGCGAACGCCUUUACUCCUGGCAUUCUUAACAAAGAGUACGGCAGACAGUGGAGACCAAAGACGCAGAAACACCAGAAACCCGGGCCAAGUCUUGUACAAACCCCGUCACGAACGACACGUCCACAACGGGAGGAGCUCGAAUCGAGAGAGAGAACAUGUCAAGCGGCACGAUUGCUGGGCUGUUGAAGACAAACUAGGCAUUUUUACCAAAUAUUAUUAACCAUCAGAGAAUGAAUAAUGAGGAUUGAACGCGCUUUAUUUAUCGAACCCGCUAGGCUAGCAAGAAGCUAACAUGAUACUAGAUGUAUUUUUGUCUAUCAACUAUCCCGGAAAUAAGGUUCUUUAAGUUUGAGAUUAUGAUGUCUCAGCUAUUCGUAAAAAAUAAAUAGAUAUGAAUAAUUGUCAGCUGAAUGAUAAAAUGUAACGAACAGAAUCAAUUCACCAUUAAAAUAGUACAAGAAGUU